rnacentral:rRNA from 1 species
UACGAAGGGUGCAAGCGUUACUCGGAAUUACUGGGCGUAAAGCGUGCGUAGGCGGUUUGUUAAGUCUGUCGUGAAAGCCCCGGGCUCAACCUGGGAAUGGCGAUGGAUACUGGCGAGCUAGGGUACGGUAGAGGAGAGUGGAAUUCCCGGUGUAGAGGUGAAAUUCGUAGAUAUCGGGAGGAACACCGGCGGCGAAGGCGGCGACCUGGUUGGAUACUGACGCUGAGGCGCGAAAGCGUGGGGAGCAAACAGG